CUUGCUAGUGGUAUCCUUGUUGAAACACCUUCUCCCUGUCGUUCAUCAUCUCUUUUUCCCGUUGUGGUUGAGCCGAAGUGCAUCUCUGUAAGAAUUUGGUCUUUUUCUCCGUCGACUCGUUGCCAUGGUGUGCGAUUGAGCCAACUUGGAGGCAUACAAUGGAACCGUUGCAACCUACAUGCUUCAUUGCCUUUUCCCGUUACAAUCAAUUGUGUGUUCUGUUUUUUUUUUAUGCAAAGGGACAUGUUGAGGCCAAUGAGGUGUUCCAUGUGUUUAUUUCAUACCUAAGCCAUUGCCAAGCAACAACAGUAUAGCUGGAGAUAUAUAUGGAGUGCAACAUAGAAGGAUGAAUUUCUUAUUUUGGGACUCUUUUUUUAUGUGUGUGCCAAAUGAGAUGUAUUGUUGUUACUUCCAAUUUGUACAAAAAAAAAUGUUGUAAUGUAGGUUAUGAUGUAAUUAAGAACAACUACUGUAAUUUUUACUCUGUUAUUAUGUAUAUGAAAAGGUUUGUCAAAUCA